AUUGAACGCUGGCGGCAGGCCUAACACAUGCAAGUCGAGCGGAUGAAGGGAGCUUGCUCCUGGAUUCAGCGGCGGACGGGUGAGUAAUGCCUAGGAAUCUGCCUGGUAGUGGGGGAUAACGUCCGGAAACGGGCGCUAAUACCGCAUACGUCCUGAGGGAGAAAGUGGGGGAUCUUCGGACCUCACGCUAUCAGAUGAGCCUAGGUCGGAUUAGCUAGUUGGUGGGGUAAAGGCCUACCAAGGCGACGAUCCGUAACUGGUCUGAGAGGAUGAUCAGUCACACUGGAACUGAGACACGGUCCAGACUCCUACGGGAGUCAGCAGUGGGGAAUAUUGGACAAUGGGCGAAAGCCUGAUCCAGCCAUGCCGCGUGUGUGAAGAAGGUCUUCGGAUUGUAAAGCACUUUAAGUUGGGAGGAAGGGCAGUAAGUUAAUACCUUGCUGUUUUGACGUUACCAACAGAAAAAGCACCGGCUAACUUCGUG
rnacentral:rRNA from 1 species